GGGGGCUUCACCACCUGCUUAAUCAUCUGAGGAACUAUUUUCCCUAAAUAUCUCUACUGUCUUUCUGACACUGGUACAAAAGACAGCAAUCAAGUAUCCUGCCACCAAUUCACAGAAAUUCAACCUUCCUUGCCUCUGCUUUUCCAGAAUCAGCUAUGUGAGAUGUUCUUUGAAGAAUUUGCUGUUGCCUCGAUUAUCACAGGAACUGUUAUCCCAAAGAUCUCUUUUUGACCUGCUGGUCCUGGUACACAGAGAACAAGCAUGUGUUCAACAGCUGAGAUACAAAGUCUUUCUAUCUUCACUUCCAGGA